rnacentral:misc_RNA from 1 species
UUAAUCAUGAAGGUAAGAAGAGAAAAAGAAAGGAAAAAGAGCAAAAGAGUAAUUUUAUUUUUUUUAACUUGAAAACUUGUUAUUAUAAGUCGGGAACUUUCUGAAACAAAACUAAAGUUGAGAGUAUUUAUUUUAAUAAAUUGAAGUUGAGUGACUGAAAUAAAAUAAAUAUAUAAGUUGAGGGACAAUUGAUGUACCUUACCCUUGUUAUUUUACAACAAUAUAAAACCUUCAUAAACACUAUUUUGGCUCUAAGAACCUCUUUUAUCAUUUCCUUUUUAAACAUUUUAAAGAAACUCAAUGCUAAUUCUUCAUAAAAAUGCUGAAUUUGGAACAUCUAAGAUCAUUGUGCUCUUUUUGCUCUUCAAUACUUCAAGGUUAAAAAUGAAAAAUCCAAGUUAUCAGCUCUAGUUCAACCUUCAUGUAACCAAAGCCUUCAUCAUGCAGCACCUAAACUUCCUCCUAAGAUUUGUCAGGAAACUUGACAAACCAACUACAAUUUUAAAAAAGAGCUACCACAUGUAUUGACACAGGAUGGGUUGUUGGUUUCAGUAGGCUACACAGCUAGCCCUUGUAAUUCCACACAUGCAUGUUUCUUCCUGAUCAAAAACACCAGGAUUUUAGUUAAACUUCUUACUUUGUGUUUGGUUUCCUACUUCAUUUAUAAUUUGUUAUUUUCCUAGACAGUAUAUGGUUAUUCCAAUUCUAAUCAAGACUUAGAUUUCUUCCUAUUUUAUUUA